AUACGAAGGGGGCAAGCGUUGUUCGGAAUGACUGGGCGUAAAGCGCACGUAGGCGGAUUGAUCAGUUAGAGGUGAAAUCCCAGGGCUCAACCCUGGAACUGCCUUUAAUACUGUCAGUCUAGAGAUCGAGAGAGGUGAGUGGAAUUCCGAGUGUAGAGGUGAAAUUCGUAGAUAUUCGGAGGAACACCAGUGGCGAAGGCGGCUCACUGGCUCGAUACUGACGCUGAGGUGCGAAAGCGUGGGGAGCAAACAGGAUUAGAAACCCUAGUAGUCC
rnacentral:rRNA from 1 species